GGGCCAGUGGCGCAAUGGAUAACGCGCCAGACUACGGAUCAGAAGAUUCUAGGUUCGACUCCUGGCUGGCUCG
rnacentral:tRNA from 1 species